rnacentral:rRNA from 1 species
CACGUAGGGUGCGAGCGUUGUCCGGAAUUAUUGGGCGUAAAGAGCUCGUAGGCGGUGUGUCGCGUCGGCCGUGAAAACCUGCAGCUCAACUGUGGGCUUGCGGUCGAUACGGGCAUCACUGGAGUUCGGCAGGGGAGACUGGAAUUCCUGGUGUAGCGGUGAAAUGCGCAGAUAUCAGGAGGAACACCGGUGGCGAAGGCGGGUCUCUGGGCCGAUACUGACGCUCAGGAGCGAAAGCGUGGGGAGCAAACAGG